AACGCACAUUGCGCCUCCUGGUAUUCCGGGAGGCAUGCCUGUUCGAGCGUCAUCAAAAACCUCAGUCUCUGAUUUAUCAUUGAUUGGUCUUGCAUCGGAUGCCUUUGGCGUCCCCUGCGAAAUCCAAUGGCGAAGAGCCACGCAGCCAAAGCGUAGUAUAAUAACCUCGUAAUGGAUGUGUGUGCGCUUCUGCCGUAACCCCCCCAAUUCUUAGUUUUUGACCUCGGAUCAGGUAGGGAUACCCGCUGAACUUAA
rnacentral:misc_RNA from 1 species